rnacentral:rRNA from 1 species
AGAGUUUGAUCCUGGCUCAGAUUGAACGCUGGCGGCAUGCCUUACACAUGCAAGUCGAACGGCAGCGGACCUUCGGGUGCCGGCGAGUGGCGAACGGGUGAGUAAUAUAUCGGAACGUGCCUUUCAGUGGGGGAUAACGUAGCGAAAGUUACGCUAAUACCGCAUAUUCUCUGAGGAGGAAAGCAGGGGACCUUCGGGCCUUGCGCUGAUAGAGCGGCCGAUAUCAGAUUAGCUAGUUGGUGGGGUAAAGGCCUACCAAGGCGACGAUCAGUAGCGGGUCUGAGAGGAUGAUCCGCCACACUGGGACUGAGACACGGCCCAGACUCCUACGGGAGGCAGCAGUGGGGAAUUUUGGACAAUGGGCGAAAGCCUGAUCCAGCCAUGCCGCGUGAGUGAAGAAGGCCUUCGGGUUGUAAAGCUCUUUCGGCCGGGAAGAAAUCGCACAGGCUAAUACCUUGUGUGGAUGACGGUACCGGAAUAAGAAGCACCGGCUAACUACGUGCCAGCAGCCGCGGUAAUACGUAGGGUGCGAGCGUUAAUCGGAAUUACUGGGCGUAAAGCGUGCGCAGGCGGUUUGGUAAGACAGGCGUGAAAUCCCCGGGCUCAACCUGGGAACUGCGCUUGUGACUGCCUCACUAGAGUACGGCAGAGGGGGGUGGAAUUCCACGUGUAGCAGUGAAAUGCGUAGAGAUGUGGAGGAACACCGAUGGCGAAGGCAGCCCCCUGGGCCGAUACUGACGCUCAUGCACGAAAGCGUGGGUAGCAAACAGGAUUAGAUACCCUGGUAGUCCACGCCCUAAACGAUGUCAACUAGUUGUUGGGGGGGUAAAACCCUUUAGUAACGUAGUAACGCGUGAAGUUGACCGCCUGGGGAGUACAGCCGCAAGGUUAAAACUCAAAGGAAUUGACGG